UCGCUGAAGUCUUGAAAUUUCCACACCGAAUAGCAAUUUUCAAUAGCUUUAAUUUGAUAUAUAGCCCGACGUUUGGGGUCAAGUAUUUCUGCUCAUAACUCAGAAAAACUAUUUUGGCUUCAUCAAAUCAUAGGCCUUCAUCAUAGCAGUUAGCCUUCCAGUUUAUUUAUAGUUCAAUGCUGCAUCCUCGGUCCCAGGGCCUCACGGCUGACACUGCGUUGCCGAAGGCCCUGGCGAAAACCAAAACGAGAAGUGAUUUGAUUGGUCGCAUGAAAACAAUGGAAUGCGGAAAUUGAACACGAACUUUUACUAAUAAAUAUGGCUGACUAUAGGAGUAGAUAGGAGUGUAUUAACUCUUCAAAGAAGACGAAGAGUCGUUUUGGUCGUUGAAAUCUGCUGUCUAUCAAUGGAAAUUUUAUUUUUAAUAUAAAAAAUGUUGGAUGUUGUGUCACAAUGUAUUAAAAAGCUGCACAAAAUUGGACAUUGGAUUAUUUAAAGAUUGAAAUCGUCAAAGUCGUCGAAGCCGAAGGGACAUUUUAUAGUUUUAUAUACGAGAUUUAAUUAUAUACAGAGUAUAAACAAAGACAGGUGAAAGGCUAUGCGAGAAAGACUGUACCGUUAAUUGUACAAAUCUACAAAAAUUGUGAGUGAUGUCUUGAAUCUUUCAAUUACAAAUGAGAAAAUCCUGAUCGUGAAUGAGUGUCUGUGUGGUUGUUCAAUGCAAGAGGGUCCAUGCCAUACAUAAUAUUAUAUUAAAUAUAGUAUAUUAUAAAAUAUAAAUUAUUUUAUAAUAUACUAUAUUUAAUAGACAUACUUUAUUGAUUUUAUAUCAAUUUCAUCAAAGGC